rnacentral:rRNA from 1 species
GGAGAGGGCUAGCGUUAUUCGGAAUUAUUUGGCGUAAAGGGCGCGUAGGCGGAUUAGUAAGUUAAAAGUGAAAUCCCAAGGCUCAACCUUGGAAUUGCUUUUAAAACUGCUAAUCUAGAGAUUGAAAGAGGAUAGAGGAAUUCCUAGUGUAGAGGUGAAAUUCGUAAAUAUUAGGAGGAACACCAGUGGCGAAGGCGUCUAUCUGGUUCAAAUCUGACGCUCAGGUGCGAAAGCGUGGGGAGCAAACAGGAUUAGAUACCCUGGUAGUCCACGCCGUAAACGAUGUCGACUUGGAGGUUGUUCCCUUGAGGAGUGGCUUCCGGAGCUAACGCGUUAAGUCGACCGCCUGGGGAGUACGGCCGCAAGGUUAAAACUCAAAUGAAUUGACGGGGGCCCGCACAAGCGGUGGAGCAUGUGGUUUAAUUCGAUGCAACGCGAAGAACCUUACCUACUCUUGACAUCCAGAGAACUUAGCAGAGAUGCUUUGGUGCCUUCGGGAACUCUGAGACAGGUGC